rnacentral:rRNA from 1 species
GACGAACGCUGGCGGCGUGCUUAACACAUGCAAGUCGAACGGAAAGGCCCUGCUUUUGUGGGGUGCUCGAGUGGCGAACGGGUGAGUAACACGUGAGUAACCUGCCCUUGACUUUGGGAUAACUUCAGGAAACUGGGGCUAAUACCGGAUAGGAGCUCCUGCUGCAUGGUGGGGGUUGGAAAGUUUCGGCGGUUGGGGAUGGACUCGCGGCUUAUCAGCUUGUUGGUGGGGUAGUGGCUUACCAAGGCUUUGACGGGUAGCCGGCCUGAGAGGGUGACCGGCCAAAUUGGGACUGAGAUACGGCCCAGACUCCUACGGGAGGCAGCAGUGGGGAAUAUUGCACAAUGGGCGGAAGCCUGAUGCAGCAAAGCCGCGUGCGGGAUGAAGGCCUUCGGGGUGGAAAACGCUUUCGCCUGUGACGAAGCGUGAGGGAAGGUAAUGGGUAAAGAAGCACCGGCUAACUACGUG